UCUAGCAGGAAUGGUUCCUGGGAACCCUAGGUAAAUGUCCAUCAAAGCAUAGUGUCCCUGGAGAGAAAGGUAGAUGCAGAUCAGUUUGUCAAGCCCUGUAAGAUCCCAGACAGCAGGACAUGAGCCAGCGGGACAUAAUCGUCUCCCACGGACAAGACUGCAGGCUUACUAUAAGACAGAAAAUCUCAGACCUCUUAUAGGGUUCUGCAGUUUCCAUGCCUCAUUGCUAAGAGCAUGAGAAUGAAAAUCAGAUUUGUUUAGGUCCAUGAUGAGCAAAAACAACACCAGAUUAAUCAAGCACAAGAGAAAAUGAUGCAAUCAAGAAAAAAGGGCACAUGUCCCGGUUGCUGCAAGCUCAAUACCCAGUGGGGGCAUGCAGGAGGCAGCUGAUGGAUGUUUCGUUCUCACAGCAAUGAUUCUC